AGUAGCCCUGCACGGGCGGAGUGCUGGCACAGGGCGAACUGGGCUGUGCAGAGGCCUGAUGGCUGCCGUGCGUAGAGCAGGCGUAGGGUAGCCUGGGCCUAGGAGACGUACUGGUGGCCAGAUGUACUGAGCAGGCAUACUCUUACCUGGCUGGAUGCCCACUCUAGCACGGCACUUGCGAGGGGCUGGAAUCGCUCGCACCGGACUGUGCGUGCGCAUGGGCGAGAUCGUGCACACUUCUGCAUUGACCGGCGCUCUUCUGAUCCGCUGCUUCCCAUAAUAAGCACGGGGAGUUGGCUCAGGUCUAUUGCCUGACCUAGCCACACUCCCCGUGUGCCCCCCCCAAAAAUUUUUUUAUUGGGGCUGCCUCCCGUACUUGCCAAUCGGCGCGUAUAAUGCCUCGUAACGGCACCGCUCCGCCUUGGCUGCCUCCAGCUCCUCCUUAGGGCGUCGGUAUUCCCCAGCCUGGUGCCAUGGUCCUGCCCCGUCCAAAAUUUCCUCCCAUUUCCACGACUCCAAAUCCCUCUGCUGCUCCUUCCUCCGCUGCUUGGUCCAUUGGUGGUGGGUAGUUCUGUCACGCUCGUCGUAAAGAUGAGCCCUGUAUUAAACUGUCACGUUCAUCGUAGGAAGGAGACCAAAGCGCAGUGUGGAUAUCGUUCCACAUCUUUUAUUUUAAUGUGAAACUUUGCAAGACAAACAAUAAACAAAACACAAACCGUGACGACAGAGGUGCAACAUGCACUAACUCAAAAUAAUCUCCCACAAAACACAGGUGGGAAAAACAACUACUUAAAUAUGAUCCCCAAUUGAAGACAACGAUGACCAGCUGCCUCGAAUUGGGAAUCAUACAAAAACCCCAACAUAGAAAAAAGAAACUAGAACACAACAUAGAAAAAAGAAACUAGAUAAAACCCCCCAGUCACGCCCUGACCUACUCUACCAUAGAAAAUAAGAGCUCUCUAUGGUCAGGACGUGACAUAAACACAGUUAUAAAACACAAAAUGAUAGCCUAAAUUACAAUGUCUACAAGAAAGCCCUAUUUUUAUUUUAUUUGGAUAGGCCUAAAUUAAACAUUCAAUUAUUUAAAGUGAUAGGCUAAAGAACUUUGGAGAAUUUAGAUAAUUUUGAAUAAACACAUGGAUUUCAAUAAACAAAUGAAUAAGACUGUUCUAUUCUCUUUUGAUUUAGUUCCUAUUGCAACUGGAUGACAUAUUGACUGACUGAAUGAAUGAUGAAUUAAAUGCUCAAAUAUGUUGGAAUGAUGAGUUGCAUGCAUCAUGCGCGCUCUGCACUUCAUUUGGCUAGUAGGCAUAUAGUCCUACAUUAGGGUAUAAUGGGUAUACAUCAGGGUAUACAACAGGGUAUAAUGGGUAUACAUCAGGGUAUAAUGGGUAUACAUCAGGGUACACAACAGGAUAUAAUAGGUAUACAUCAGGAUAUAAUAGGUAUACAUCAGGGUAUAAUGGGUAUACAUCAGGAUAUAAUAGGUAUACAUCAGGGUAUAAUGGGUAUACAUCAGGGUAUAAUGGGUAUACAUCAGGGUAUAAUGGGUAUACAUAAGGGUAUAAUGGGUAUACAUCAGGGUAUACAUCAAGGUAUACAUCAGGGUAUAAUGGGUAUAUAUCAGGGUAUACAUCAGGGUAUAAUGGGUAUACAUCAGGGUAUAAUGGGUAUAUAUCAGGGUAUAGUGGGUAUACAUCAGGGUAUAAUGUGUAUACAUCCGAGUAUAAUGUGUAUACAUCAGGGUAUACAUCAGGGUAUACAACAGGGUAUAAUGGGUAUACAUCAGGGUAUAAAUCAGGGUAUAAUGGGUAAACAUCAGAGUAUACAACAGGGUAUAAUGGGUAUACAUAGGGAAUAGCCUAUACUGAGACUACCUAAUACCACUGCAACAGAGUUACUGUAAAAUGUGGGAAUAACUUUAUGUCAGGCUUUUAACCACUCCAACAGAAUAUGCUUUAGCAAGAUUUUG
rnacentral:lncRNA from 1 species